AUGAACGCUAGCGACAGGCUAACACAUGCAAGUCGAGGGGUAACAGGGUAGCAAUACCGCUGACGACCGGCGCACGGGUGAGUAACGCGUAUGCAACCUGCCUAUAACUGGGGAAUAGCUCCCUGAAAGGGGGAAUUAACACCGCAUAAUACUAUUGAUUCGCAUGGAUUAGUAGUUAAAUGUAGCGAUACAGGUUAUAGAUGGGCAUGCGUGACAUUAGCUAGUUGGUGAGGUAACGGCUCACCAAGGCUACGAUGUCUAGGGGUUCUGAGAGGAAGGUCCCCCCACACUGGUACUGAGACACGGACCAGACUCCUACGGGAGGCAGCAGUGAGGAAUAUUGGUCAAUGGGCGCAAGCCUGAACCAGCCAUGUCGCGUGCAGGAAGAACCUGCCCUAUGGGUUGUAAACUGCUUUUAUAGUAGAAGAAACACAUCUACGUGUAGAUGUCUGCCAGUAUACUAUGAAUAAGCAUCGGCUAACUCCGUGCCAGCCGCGGC
rnacentral:rRNA from 1 species